CCUCACUGGCUGAGGAUAGCUCAGUCAGUAAAGCAUGAGACUCUUAAUCUCAGGGUCAUGAGUUCAAGCCCCACAUUGGGGA